rnacentral:rRNA from 1 species
GGUGACGGUUGUCCGGAAUAUUGCGGCGUAAGCGCGCGCAGGCGGUUUCUUAAGUCUGAUGUGAAAGCCCCCGGCUCAACCGGGGAGGGUCAUUGGAAACUGGGGAACUUGAGUGCAGAAGAGGAGAGUGGAAUUCCACGUGUAGCGGUGAAAUGCGUAGAGAUGUGGAGGAACACCAGUGGCGAAGGCGACUCUCUGGUCUGUAACUGACGCUGAGGCGCGAAAGCGUGGGGAGCGAACAGGAUUAGAUACCCUGGUAGUCCACGCCGUAAACGAUGAGUGCUAAGUGUUAGAGGGUUUCCGCCCUUUAGUGCUGCAGCAAACGCAUUAAGCACUCCGCCUGGGGAGUACGGUCGCAAGACUGAAACUCAAAGGAAUUGACGGGGGCCCGCACAAGCGGUGGAGCAUGUGGUUUAAUUCGAAGCAACGCGAAGAACCUUACCAGGUCUUGACAUCCUCUGACAACCCUAGAGAUAGGGCUUCCCCUUCGGGGGCAGAGUGACAGGUGGUGCAUGGUUGUCGUCAGCUCGUGUCGUGAGAUGUUGGGUUAAGUCCCGCAACGAGCGCAACCCUUGAUCUUAGUUGCCAGCAUUCAGUUGGGCACUCUAAGGUGACUGCCGGUGACAAACCGGAGGAAGGUGGGGAUGACGUCAAAUCAUCAUGCCCCUUAUGACCUGGGCUACACACGUGCUACAAUGGGCAGAACAAAGGGCAGCGAAGCCGCGAGGCUAAGCCAAUCCCACAAAUCUGUUCUCAGUUCGGAUCGCAGUCUGCAACUCGACUGCGUGAAGCUGGAAUCGCUAGUAAUCGCGGAUCAGCAUGCCCGGGUGGAAUACGUUCCCCGGGCCUUGUACACACCGCCCGUCACACCACGAGAGUUUGUAACACCCGAAGUCGGUGAGGUAACCUUUUGGAGCCAGCCGCCGAAGGUGGGACAGAUGAUUGGGUGAUCACAAGAAAAGCCGGCGGAGAGAGAGAAAAAAGGGGGCGGGG